rnacentral:rRNA from 1 species
UGGGGAAUUUUGGACAAUGGGCGCAAGCCUGNUCCAGCCAUGCCGCGUGCAGGAUGAAGGCCUUCGGGUUGUAAACUGCUUUUGUACGGAACGAAAAGACUCCUUCUAAUAAAGGGGGUCCAUGACGGUACCGUAAGAAUAAGCACCGGCUAACUACGUGCCAGCAGCCGCGGUAAUACGUAGGGUGCGAGCGUUAAUCGGAAUUACUGGGCGUAAAGCGUGCGCAGGCGGUUAGAUAAGCCAGAUGUGAAAUCCCCGAGCUCAACUUGGGAACUGCGUUUGGAACUGUCAGACUAGAGUGCGUCAGAGGGGGGUGGAAUUCCGCGUGUAGCAGUGAAAUGCGUAGAGAUGCGGAGGAACACCGAUGGCGAAGGCAGCCCCCUGGGAUGACACUGACGCUCAUGCACGAAAGCGUGGGGAGCAAACAGGAUUAGAUACCCUGGUAGUCCACGCCCUAAACGAUGUCAAUUAGCUGUUGGGGGUUAGAAUCCCUGGUAGCGUAGCUAACGCGUGAAAUUGACCGCCUGGGGAGUACGGCCGCAAGGUUA